GCCUGGGUGGCUUAGUUGGUUAAGUGUCUGACUCUUGAUCUCAGCUCAGGUCAUGAUCUCACGGUUUGUGGGUUCAAGCCCCACAGCAGGCU
rnacentral:tRNA from 1 species